AAUCUCCCGUGUAAAUAACACACACAUAUCGGCACAUGCGCCGGGGUGCCUUUCGGGGUCGGUUGCAUGGGAUAUGUGGAGGCCCAAC
rfam:Pantoea sp. PSNIH2, complete genome.